UGUCGGCCGUAUGCUUCUGUCCAAGCUCACUACUCUCUGCCAGUGACGUCGGGUCAAGCUCAACGCUGAUUGGCUAUUGCGGCGCGUAUGAGCGUAAAAAGUUAAAUUUUUUGAACUCCUCGCGUACGCGCGUAUAUGUACGCGCGUAUAUAUACGCGCCUCAUACGCCCCUAACGCGAGUAAAAUGUUGCUUAUACGCAUGUAACGCGUGUACGCGUCUCAUACGCGCGUAAACCAAUGGUUCCCUAUGGAAAAAUUGCCGAUUUUAUACGCGUGGUACGCGGGUAACGCUUUUGGUGUGUCCGCACCUUUAAGCUACACAAAACCAACAAAAUCAGCUCACUACAUGAGAAAUUACAUGUUGAACCGACAUAAUGUGUUGUCAUUUACCAUAGUUUGACUAACACUGAUCCUGUUUCUGGGUCAGUGUGUGCUCUGGUCUGUAGUAUGCCAUUUCAGAAACGGUGUCUCUGGUGCAGCCUUGUGGGACACCUGUACCCAGCUCCCACUCAAAAUUACUGAUAAUACAGCGGACACACACUGUCCACUGUGCUAUCCGUACCCAGCUUCCACUCAAAGUUACGGAUAACUUUGAGUGGGAGCUGGGUACGGAUACCCCAUAAGGCUGCACCUGAGAUGGUGUGUGUCAGCUGUAUUAUUGGUAACUUUGCGUGGGAAAAACGUUAGGUAUGAAUACCCCACAAGGCUCCACCUGAGACAGUAGCCUACUAGCUGUGACUUGAGAUAAUUUGUAUGUUGAUCUUCUCUUCAGGGUUUUAUUUCCGCUAAAAUAGUCGGUUGGUUAUUACUCAAUGUGCUUGACUGAUGAUUGCUAAAAUUAGUUGCUGACUGGCCGUUGGUCUCAUACCAGUAGAAGACGCAUGCAACUGUAUAGCUGUUGUGUAGACUAUAUGCUUGUAAUCAAAAUGGUGACUGCCACACAGACAAAUUCUGAAUAACUGAUUCAAAUUCAUAUUUUAGGGUGGUGGUGGCGAUUCUCAUGACAUAUCCGUUGUAAAUAGUAUCUUGCCAUGCAGCUCCAACCCAGUGAUGCAAGAAGAAGAGGUUUCACCCUCCAGCUUGCAGGUUUGCAGUGGAGACUCAUUUGUCACAUAUUUAAAGAACAGCUCCUCUGUAUGCAGCUCCACCAUGGUGUCACAAGACACAAAGUUUGCCAAAGAAGCCAAGUUAAGCUUGGUAAACUACACAGACUCGGAUGAAUCAGCCGUCAGUUCCAACGCUAAUGAAGAUGUUCCCUCAUCCACCAUACAGGUAUCUUAGUCAGAUCACUUUAGUAAUUUCAGCAACCUGUCACUAAGCAAUGGACACACCCACUUUUCAACCUGCCACCAUCUUGAUGGAACAGAAUUUUGAAGUGCUCAUUCAAUAUUUUAUUGUUAUUUACUGCAAAAGAUUUUGUGUUUUGAAAUACAUGAAUGUGAUUUGGCUUGGUUAGGCUUUGGCACCGCAGCAUAAAUGCCAAUCCAAUCCAUUUUUAUUUAUAUAGCGCAUUUCCUACUCAGUGAUAACUCAAAGCACUCAAAGCCAAAUCAAGCUAUUCACUUACAUGCAAUUAAAAACAUGGAAUCUACAAUGGUAAAAACUAUCUAAAUCAGGGCAUCAUAAGAUUGUAAUUCCAUGUGUAUUCUGCCUGUUCUUUUGACUGUUUUGGUUCUUUGAAAUUGCAUUGUUUUAACAUUGGAGUGAAUGGGCACAUUCCAUUCUUCCAAGAUGGCCAUGUUAAAAAGUGGGUAUGUCCGUUGCUUAGUGACAGGCCUCUAUUGUAUCCAUUCCACUCUUGAUUAUGGCAGCUCCCACCUAGCCUCAUCAACAUUUGAUUCUGGCAGAGGAUCUGGACCCACAUCCGUAGGGUCUCAUUUACAAACUUAUUUCCUCACGCUCCAAUCAAACUGGACUGGAUUUGAAAGAGAUCGACCUACAGCUAGAUCUUAUUUUAUAUUUCUUGAAGAUGAAAGUGAAGAUUCCUGAUGGAUCUGAUGAGCUUUUUUGGGGAAGAAUACGUUCCAGCUUCAAUUGCAGAAAGUACAGAUAAUACAGAUGGAAGCAUGAUCUGUGAAAUGUCACCAUCUAUGUCACCAUCAUCCUUGUCAGACAGGACUGAGUAGCAGAAGCUGUUCAACUCCAUGUCAAAGCAGAAGCAGUGGGGAGAGUAAUUCCGAUGGAGAAGACAUCCCUGUCCAAAAGAAAAAGUCCAAGACCAUUCGCAAGCCACAGAAGAAGAGGCCCUGGGAAACUGAGGAGACAAAUGCAGUUGAAAAGCACAUGAGGAACUUCAUUUUGACCUGCAAUGUUCCAAGAAAGGAAGACUGUGAUAAGUGCCUUAAAUCAGAGCCAGAAGCACUAAAAAAUAGAGACUGGAAGGCACUCAAAUUCUACAUCAAAAAUAGAAUUACUGCACUAAAAAGGAAAAUGUAAAACAUUUCAGUUUUCAUCCAGUUUCUCAACAGGU